UAGGGAAUCUUCGGCAAUGGGGGGAACCCUGACCGAGCAACGCCGCGUGAGUGAAGAAGGUUUUCGGAUCGUAAAGCUCUGUUGUUAAGGAAGAACGAGUGUGAGAAUGGAAAGUUCAUGCUGUGACGGUACUUAACCAGAAAGGGACGGCUAACUACGUGCCAGCAGCCGCGGUAAUACGUAGGUCCCGAGCGUUGUCCGGAUUUAUUGGGCGUAAAGCGCGCGCAGGUGGUGUAGAAAGUCUGAUGUGAAAGCCCACGGCUCAACCGUGGAGGGUCAUUGGAAACUAAUAAACUUGAGUGCAGGAGAGAAAAGUGGAAUUCCUAGUGUAGCGGUGAAAUGCGUAGAGAUUAGGAGGAACACCGGUGGCGAAAGCGGCUUUUUGGCCUGCAACUGACACUGAGGCGCGAAAGCGUGGGGAGCAAACAGG
rnacentral:rRNA from 1 species